rnacentral:rRNA from 1 species
AUUGAACGCUGGCGGCAGGCCUAACACAUGCAAGUCGAACGGUAACAGGAAGAAGCUUGCUUCUUUGCUGACGAGUGGCGGACGGGUGAGUAAUGUCUGGGAAACUGCCUGAUGGAGGGGGAUAACUACUGGAAACGGUAGCUAAUACCGCAUAACGUCGCAAGACCAAAAAGGGGGACCUUCGGGCCUCUUGCCAUCGGAUGUGCCCAGAUGGGAUUAACUAGUAGGUGGGGUAACGGCUCACCUAGGCGACGAUCCCUAGCUGGUCUGAGAGGAUGACCAGCCACACUGGAACUGAGACACGGUCCAGACUCCUACGGGAGGCAGCAGUGGGGAAUACUGCACAAUGGGCGCAAGCCUGAUGCAGCCAUGCCGCGUGUAUGAAGAAGGCCUUCGGGUUGUAAAGUACUUUCAGCGGGGAGGAAGGGAGUAAAGUUAAUACCUUUGCUCAUUGACGUUACCCGCAGAAGAAGCACCGGCUAACUCCGUG